CAAGUCGAACGAUCUCGCAAGAGAUAGUGGCAAACGGGUGAGGAACACGUAAGUAAUCUUCCUCAAAGCCGAACAUAGCUUCGUGAAAACGGAGGUAAUUUUCGAUGUUGUUAUCUGGUCGCAUGAUCAGAUAACCAAAGGUGGGGACCUUCGGGCCUACCGCUUUGAGAUGAGCUUGCGUCCUAUCAGCUAGUUGGUGAGGUAACGGCUCACCAAGGCUUAUGACGGGUAGCUGGUCUGAGAGGAUGGUCAGCCACACUGGGACUGAGACACUGCCCAGACUCCUACGGGAGGCUGCAGUCGAGAAUCUUUAGCAAUGGACGAAAGUCUGACUAUGCGACGCCGCGUGCAGGAUGAAGGUCUUCGGAUUGUAAACUGCUUUUAUCAGGGAAGAAACUACCGACUUUAACAAAGUCGGAACUGACGGUACCUGAGGAAUAAGCCACGGCCAACUCCGUGCCAGCAGCCGCGGUAAUACGGAGGUGGCGAGCGUUACUCGGAAUCAUUGGGUGUAAAGGGCAGGUAGGCGGUCUAUUAAGUGAGGGGUGAAAUCUCCCGGCUCAAUCGGGAAACUGCCUUUCAAACUGAUAGACUUGAGUGUGAUAGGGGGAAGCGGAAUUAGCAGUGUAAGGGUGAAAUCUGUAGAUAUUGCUAAGAACACCAGCGGCGAAGGCGGCUUCCUGGAUCACAACCGACGCUGAUCUGCGAAAGCUAGGGGAGCAAACAGAAUUAGAUACUCUGGUAGUCCUAGCCGUAAACGAUGAAUACUAGGUGUUGGGCCGUAAGGCUCAGUGCCGCAGCUAACGCAUUAAGUAUUCCACCUGAGGACUACGAUCGCAAGAUUAAAACUCAAAGGAAUUGACGGGGACCCGCACAAGCGGUGGAACAUGUGGUUCAAUUCGAUGCUAC
rnacentral:rRNA from 1 species